rnacentral:rRNA from 1 species
UACGUAGGGGGCAAGCGUUGUCCGGAUUUAUUGGGCGUAAAGAGCGUGUAGGCGGCCAUACAGGUCAGCUGUGAAAACUCGAGGCUCAACCUCGAGACGUCGGUUGAAACCGUAUGGCUAGAGUCCGGAAGAGGAGAGUGGAAUUCCCGGUGUAGCGGUGAAAUGCGCAGAUAUCGGAAGGAACACCUGUGGCGAAAGCGGCUCACUGGACCAUUACUGACGCUGAGGAGCGAAAGCGUGGGGAGCGAACAGG